AGAGUUUGAUCAUGGCUCAGGAUGAACGCUAGCUACAGGUUUAACACAUGCAAGUCGAGGGGCAGCAUGAACUUAGCUUGCUAAGUUUGAUGGCGACCGGCGCACGGGUGAGUAACACGUAUCCAACCUUCCGUUUACUCAGGGAUAGCCUUUCGAAAGAAAGAUUAAUACCUGAUAGUAUGGUGAGAUUGCAUGAUAGCACCAUUAAAGAUUUAUUGGUAAACGAUGGGGAUGCGUUCCAUUAGG
rnacentral:rRNA from 1 species